CCUACGGGUGACAGCAGUGAGGAAUAUUGGUCAAUGGACGAGAGUCUGAACCAGCCAAGUAGCGUGAAGGAUGACUGCCCUAUGGGUUGUAAACUUCUUUUAUAAAGGAAUAAAACGAGGCACGUGUGCCUGUUUGCAUGUACUUUAUGAAUAAGGAACGGCUAAGUUCGUGCCAGCAGCCGCGGUAAUACGGAGGGUCCGAGCGUUAUCCGGAUUUAUUGGGUUUAAAGGGAGCGUAGGCGGGUUGUUAAGUCAGUUGUGAAAGUUUGCGGCUCAACCGUAAAAUUGCAGUUGAUACUGGCAGCCUUGAGUACAGUAGAGGGAGGCAGAAUUCGUGGUGUAGCGGUGAAAUGCGUAGAUAUCAGGAGGAACUCCGAUUGCGAAGGCAGCCUGCUGGACUGAAACUGACGCUGAUGCUCGAAAGUGUGGGUAGCAAACAGGAUUAGAUACCCUUGUAGUC
rnacentral:rRNA from 1 species